CAGUAGCCACGGUAAUACGUAGGUGGCAAGCGUUGUCCGGAAUUAUUGGGCAUAAAGGGCUCGCAGGCGGUUUCUUAAGUCUGAUGUGAAAGCCCCCGGCUCAACCGGGGAGGGUCAUUGGAAACUGGGAAACUUGAGUGCAGAAGAGGAGAGUGGAAUUCCACGUGUAGCGGUGAAAUGCGUAGAGAUGUGGAGGAACACCAGUGGCGAAGGCGACUCUCUGGUCUGUAACUGACGCUGAGGAGCGAAAGCGUGGGGAGCGAACAGGAUUAGAUACCCGGGUAGUCCCUGUCUCUUAUAC
rnacentral:rRNA from 1 species